rnacentral:rRNA from 1 species
UGGGGAAUUUUGGACAAUGGGCGAAAGCCUGAUCCAGCAAUGCCGCGUGUGUGAAGAAGGCCUUCGGGUUGUAAAGCACUUUUGUCCGGAAAGAAAUCCUUGGCUCUAAUACAGUCGGGGGAUGACGGUACCGGAAGAAUAAGCACCUGCUAACUACGUGCCAGCAGCCGCGGUAAUACGUAGGGUGCAAGCGUUAAUCGGAAUUACUGGGCGUAAAGCGUGCGCAGGCGGUUUGCUAAGACCGAUGUGAAAUCCCCGGGCUCAACCUGGGAACUGCAUUGGUGACUGGCAGGCUAGAGUAUGGCAGAGGGGGGUAGAAUUCCACGUGUAGCAGUGAAAUGCGUAGAGAUGUGGAGGAAUACCGAUGGCGAAGGCAGCCCCCUGGGCCAAUACUGACGCUCAUGCACGAAAGCGUGGGGAGCAAACAGGAUUAGAUACCCUGGUAGUCCACGCCCUAAACGAUGUCAACUAGUUGUUGGGGAUUCAUUUCCUUAGUAACGUAGCUAACGCGUGAAGUUGACCGCCUGGGGAGUACGGUCGCAAGAUUAAAAGCUC